rnacentral:rRNA from 1 species
ACGAACGCUGGCGGCGUGCUUAACACAUGCAAGUCGCACGGAAAGGCCCUGCUUUUGUGGGGUGCUCGAGUGGCGAACGGGUGAGUAACACGUGAGUAACCUGCCCUUGACUUUGGGAUAACUUCAGGAAACUGGGGCUAAUACCGGAUAGGAGCUCCUGCUGCAUGGUGGGGGUUGGAAAGUUUCGGCGGUUGGGGAUGGACUCGCGGCUUAUCAGCUUGUUGGUGGGGUAGUGGCUUACCAAGGCUUUGACGGGUAGCCGGCCUGAGAGGGUGACCGGCCACAAUGGGACUGAGAUACGGCCCAGACUCCUACGGGAGGCAGCAGUGGGGAAUAUUGCACAAUGGGCGGAAGCCUGAUGCAGCAACGCCGCGUGCGGGAUGACGGCCUUCGGGUUGUAAACCGCUUUCGCCUGUGACGAAGCGUGAGUGACGGUAAUGGGUAAAGAAGCACCGGCUAACUACGUG